GCGCAGCCUGAUGCAGCGACGCCGCGUGAGGGAUGACGGCCUUCGGGUUGUAAACCUCUUUCACCAGGGACGAAGCUUUUGUGACGGUACCUGGAGAAGAAGCACCGGCCAACUACGUGCCAGCAGCCGCGGUAAUACGUAGGGUGCGAGCGUUGUCCGGAAUUACUGGGCGUAAAGAGCUCGUAGGCGGUUUGUCGCGUCGUCUGUGAAAUUCUGCAGCUUAACUGCAGGCGUGCAGGCGAUACGGGCAGACUUGAGUACUACAGGGGAGACUGGAAUUCCUGGUGUAGCGGUGAAAUGCGCAGAUAUCAGGAGGAACACCGGUGGCGAAGGCGGGUCUCUGGGUAGUAACUGACGCUGAGGAGCGAAAGCGUGGGUAGCGAACAGGAUUAGAUACCCUGGUAGUCCACGCCGUAAACGGUGGGUACUAGGUGUGGGGCUCAUUUCACGAGUUCCGUGCCGUAGCUAACGCAUUAAGUACCCCGCCUGGGGAGUACGGCCGCAAGGCUAAAACUCAAAGGAAUUGACGGGGGCCCGCACAAGCGGCGGAGCAUGUGGAUUAAUUCGAUGCAACGCGAAGAACCUUACCUGGGUUUGACAUACACCAGACGCGGCUAGAGAUAGUCGUUCCCUUGUGGUUGGUGUACAGGUGGUGCAUGGCUGUCGUCAGCUCGUGUCGUGAGAUGUUGGGUUAAGUCCCGCAACGAGCGCAACCCUUGUCCUGUAUUGCCAGCGGGUUAUGCCGGGGACUUGCAGGAGACUGCCGGGGUCAACUCGGAGGAAGGUGGGGAUGACGUCAAGUCAUCAUGCCCCUUAUGUCCAGGCUUCACACAUGCUACAAUGGCCGGUACAGAGGGCUGCGAUACCGUGAGGUGGAGCGAAUCCCUUAAAGCCGGUCUCAGUUCGGAUCGGGGUCUGCAACUCGACCCC
rnacentral:rRNA from 1 species